rnacentral:rRNA from 1 species
CAAGGAAUAUUGCACAAUGGGCGAAAGCCUGAUGCAGCAACGCCGCGUGCGCGAUGAAGGCCUUCGGGUCGUAAAGCGCUUUUCUGGGGGAAGAGUAAGGACGGUACCUCAGGAAUAAGUCUCGGCUAACUACGUGCCAGCAGCCGCGGUAACACGUAGGAGACAAGCGUUAUCCGGAUUUAUUGGGCGUGAAGGGCAUGUAGGCGGGCUCUUAAGUCGGAUGUGAAAUCUCUUGGCUUAACCGGGAGGGGUCAUUCGAUACUGGGAGUCUUGAGGGCAGGAGAGGGAAGUAGAAUUCCCGGUGUAGUGGUGGAAUACGUAGAUAUCGGGAGGAAUACCAGUGGCGAAAGCGGCUUCCUGGCCUGUGCCUGACGCUGAUAGGCGGAAGCGUGGGUAGCAAACGG